rnacentral:rRNA from 1 species
AUGGUGUCGCUGAUGGACGACGUCACCGCCGAGAUCUUCCUCCGCCUCCCGCCGUACGAGCCCGAGCACCUCUUCCGCGCCGCCCUCGUCUGCAAGCCCUGGCUCCGCGUCCUCCGCGACCCCUCCUUCCGCCGCCGCUACAGCGUCUUCCACCGGGCGCCGCCCCUGCUCGGCCUCCUCCACAGGCUCCAGGUCUUCGAAGGAGACCCCGCCGCCCGCCUCGCCCCCACCACAGCGGCGCCCCUCUCGCCCUACCCCGACCUCUGCCGCACGCGCCCCCUCGACUGCCGCCACGGCCGCGUCCUCCUCCACGUGGGGGUCGGGUCCUGGCAUUUCAUCGUCUGGGAUCCCGUCACGGGCGAGCAGCACCGCUUCCCGGAGCCUGGCAUCCCGAAGCUCAUCUACUCCGCCGCCGUCUUCUGCGCCGUGCCCGGCUGCGACCACCUUGACUGCCACGGCGGCCCCUUCCGGGUUGUCUUUCUGGUCACCGAAGACUGCACAGAUCUAAUCAAGGCCGCAGUGUACUCAUCAGAGACAGGUGCGUGGAGCACGCCGGUGACAAUGGACGCUGGCUGUGAUGUCCAGCAUAGGCGAGAUGCCCUUGCUGCUGGAUUCUACUACACGCCCUAUGUCCAGCCUAGGCGGGGCGCCGUUAUUGGAGAUGAAGCCUACUUCACCCUUCGCUACGGUAACCCAGUCGUCAAAUAUAACUGGAGCAAGAAUCACAUAUCCCUGAUUGAUCCGCCAACAAAGUGUGUGUACAACGUUGGUGUCAAAAAAAAGGCUGUCGACAAGGUCGCCCUCAUGGUGAUGGAGGACAGUUCACUGGGGUUUGCCUGCGUUGAGGGUUCCAGCCUUCACCUGUGGUCAAGAAAGGUGAAUGCAGAAGGAGAUGCAGAAUGGGUACAGCGCAGGGCCAUCCAGCUGGAGAGUGUUAUACCUGUUGCCAAUUCUGAUGACAAACCAUUUGUGGUUGGAUGUGCAGAGGGUGUGGGUGUCAUAUUCGUUAGCACCGGUGUUGGCUUAUUCACAAUCAAGCUAGAUUCUGGGCUGGUUAAGAAGGUUGCCGAGUCUGGGGUCUACUUCAGCGUCCUACCCUACAUGAGCUUCUAUACUCCAGAUCGUGGUACGUUUCCAUCCCUGGCGGAGAUCACUGAUGCCUGA